rnacentral:pre_miRNA from 1 species
AUAGAAUCAACAGGGGGUCUUGUUAAAAUGCAUAUUUUAAUUCAGGAAUUCUGGGUGGAAUCUGAGAUUUUUGUAUUUCUAACAAGCUUCCAGGUGAUGUAGAU